rnacentral:rRNA from 1 species
AGUCUGGUGCCAGCAGCUGCGGUAAUACCAGCUCCAAUAGCGUAUAUUAAAGUUGUUGCAGUUAAAAAGCUCGUAGUUGGACUUGUGUGCGCUGUCCGCGGGUGGCCUGCGCCCAAAAGGGCGUUUCGGUUCGGCCCCGGUGGCGCCUUGAAAUCUGCAGCUGGGGGGACGUUGGCCUUAACUGGUCGGCGACCGCACGCCGGCUGCUCGGUUACUGUGAGAAAAUUAGAGUGUUCAAGGCAGGCAUUGGGUGCAAUUGAAUACAUUAGCAUGGAAUAAUAAAAUAUGGCUCCUGCCGUAUUUUGUUGGUUUUGACUGGUGGGAGUAAUGAUUGAUAGGGACGGUUGGGGGUGCUAGUAUUGAGCGGCCAGAGGUGAAAUUCAUGGAUUCGCUCAAGACUAACUUAUGCGAAAGCAUUCACCAAGGACGUCCUCUUUAAUCAAGAACGAAAGUUGGGGGAUCGAAGACGAUCAGAUACCGUCGUAGUCUCAACCAUAAACUAUGUCGACUUGGGAUCGGCGGUAGUUUUUUCAUUAAGACACUGUCGGGACCACGGGAGAAAUCAAAGUGUCUGGACUCUGGGGGAAGUAUGGUCGCAAGGCUGAAACUUGAAGGAAUUGACGGAAGGGCACCACCAGGAGUGGAGCCUGCGGCUUAAUUUGACCCAACACGGGGAAACUUACCAGGUCCAGAGAUGUAGAGGAUUGACAGAUUGAAGCUCUUUCUUGAUCACUUCGGUGGUGGUGCAUGGCCGUUCUUAGUUGGUGGAGUGAUUUGUCUGGUUAAUUCCGUUAACGAUCGAGACCUCAGCCUGCUAGUGUAGUCGGCUGGAUUGCCUUUGGCGAUCCGUGAUUUCGACUUCUUAGAGGGACAAUCGACGCGCAGUCGAUGGAAGUUUGAGGCAAUAACAGGUCUGUGAUGCCCUUAGAUGUUCUGGGCCGCACGCGCGCUACACUGCUGGGCUCAGCGAGUUUUACUUGGCCGAGAGGCCCGGUUAAUCUUGUGAAAUCCCAGCGUGCUUGGGCUCGCCUCCUGCAACUGGAGGCGCCAACGAGGAAUUCCUAGUAGACGCAGGUCAUCAACCUGCAUCGAUUACGUCCCUGCCCUUUGUACACACCGCCCGUCGUUCCAUAAGAGUGAGGCAUCCGGUGAAUUCUCGGGAGAGCCUGGGCGUGGCCAGCAAUGGUCUGCUCGGGUUUGAACUUGCAUAAACUUGGUGCCUAUGAUUAGGG